AGAGGCGGCCAGAGCGGUGAGGUCACACCCGUACCCAUCCCGAACACGGAAGUUAAGCUCACCAGCGUACUGGAUGGUACUGGAGUGAGAGAUCCUCUGGGACGUGCAGUUCGCCGCCUCG
rnacentral:rRNA from 1 species